rnacentral:rRNA from 1 species
AUCGGAAUUACUGGGCGUAAAGCGUGCGCAGGCGGUUUCGUAAGACAGACGUGAAAUCCCCGGGCUCAACCUGGGAACUGCGUUUGUGACUGCGAGGCCAGAGUACGGCAGAGGGGGGUAGAAUUCCACGUGUAGCAGUGAAAUGCGUAGAGAUGUGGAGGAAUACCGAUGGCGAAGGCAGCCCCCUGGGUUAGUACUGACGCUCAUGCACGAAAGCGUGGGGAGCAAACAGGAUUAGAUACCCUGGUAGUCCACGCCCUAAACGAUGUCAACUAGGUGUUGGAAGGGUUAAACCUUUUAGUACCGCAGCUAACGCGUGAAGUUGACCGCCUGGGGAGUACGGCCGCAAGGUUAAAACUCAAAUGAAUUGACGG